UAAUUUAAAAUUUUAUUUCUCUAGAAAGUUAAAAACCAUGUAUAUCCUUUCCCUUUUUCUUCAACACACAUACAUCCAAACCUAAUAUACCAAUAUAAAAAAAGCAACAUCAGCAAGCAGCAAGGAGAGGAUUCGAAGAACCCGAAGCAACCCCCAACCACCAAAUAUCAGCAGCGAAAUUUAAAAAAAACUUAGCACUUUCAAAAAAAAGCUCAGAGAAUCACC
rnacentral:lncRNA from 1 species